UGUGACUUCUUUCUCUUGAGUUUUGAACAGUUGUGGCUGCAUUCACAGGGAAUGACACAGGGAGGGGAGUGGAGGAGAGCAAGCAGAAGCAUGUAUGCAGCCUGCCUAACUGGUGGCUGUAUUACAUUCCACACAGGCAAGACUGGUGAUGGAUUGAUGCCAGCUGGAGAGAGGCAGUCCUGAAUCAAUUAAGGCUGCCACUGACCCGAUCCAAUCCCCCCCCUCCCCCUCCCCCCUCUGACUGCUGGCCAGGCUGAUGAACCAGAACCCCUCGAGCACUCACAGUCUACAUCCAAAGAAAGUCCAUAUAAUUUGCUGAACAUAUACUACACCAGCAAAUGGCCCAGCAUCUUAGCAGAGGAGGGAGGCCUAGUGGUUCAGGCAGCAGUUGU